rnacentral:rRNA from 1 species
GGGGCACCACCAGGAGUGGAGCCUGCGGCUUAAUUUGACUCAACACGGGGAAAUUUACCCGGCCUGGACACUGGAAGGAUUGACAGAUUGAGAGCUCUUUCUUGAUUCAGUGGGUGGUGGUGCAUGGCCGUUCUUAGUUGGUGGAGCGAUUUGUCUGGUUAAUUCCGAUAACGAACGAGACUCUAGCCUAUUAAAUAGGCUCUCGGCUUUUAAACGCCGGGAGGACUUCUUAGAGGGACAGGUGGCGGUUCAGCCGCACGAAAGAGAGCAAUAACAGGUCUGUGAUGCCCUUUGUUGUCCGGGGCCGCACGCGCGCUACACUGAAGAGAUCAGCGUGCUUUACGUUCCUGCUCCGACCGGAGUGGGGAACCCAGUGAACCUUCUUCGUGAUUGGGAUAGAAGAUUGUAAUUAUUCUUCUUGAACGAGGAAUUCCCAGUAAAUGCGAGUCAUAAGCUCGCGUUGAUUACGUCCCUGCCCUUUGUACACACCGCCCGUCGCUACUACCGAUUGAACGAUUU